rnacentral:rRNA from 1 species
GAUGAACGCUGGCGGCGUGCCUAAUACAUGCAAGUCGAACGAAGCUUCUUUAUCACCGAGUGCUUGCACUCACCGAUAAAGAGUUGAGUGGCGAACGGGUGAGUAACACGUGGGCAACCUGCCCGAAAGAGGGGGAUAACACUUGGAAACAGGUGCUAAUACCGCAUAACCAUGAACACCGCAUGGUGUUUAUGUGAAAGGUGGUUUCGGCUACCGCUUUCGGAUGGGCCCGCGGCGCAUUAGCUAGUUGGUGGGGUAAAGGCUUACCAAGGCAAUGAUGCGUAGCCGAACUGAGAGGUUGAUCGGCCACAUUGGGACUGAGACACGGCCCAAACUCCUACGGGAGGCAGCAGUAGGGAAUCUUCCACAAUGGGCGAAAGCCUGAUGGAGCAACGCCGCGUGGGUGAAGAAGGUCUUCGGAUCGUAAAACCCUGUUGUCAGAGAAGAAAGUGCAUGAGAGUAACUGUUCAUGUUUCGACGGUAUCUGACCAGAAAGCCACGGCUAACUACGUGCCAGCCGCCGCAGUAA